GACGAACGCUGGCGGCGUGCUUAACACAUGCAAGUCGAACGGUGAAGCGCCUUCCUUUCUGGUGGGUGUGGAUGAGCGGCGAACUGGUGAGUAAGACGUUAGUAACCCGCUCCCUCCGGCUUGACAACGGCAAGCAAGUGUUGCUAAUACGGGAUAUUCUGGGCCUGUCGCAUGAUGGGUCUGGGAAAGAUUUUGUUUCGGUGGGGGAUGGGCUCGCGGCCUAUCAGCUUGUUGGUGGGGUGAUGGCCUACCAAGGCGGUGACGGGUAGCCGGCCUGAGAGGGUGGCCGGUCACGCUGGGGCUGAGACACGGCCCAGACUCCGGCGGGAGGCAGCAGGGAGUAUUCGUGAACGAUGGGCGCAAGGCUGAUGCAGCGACGCCGCGUGAAGGAGGGAGGCCUGCGGGUAGUGAACGUCUUUCGGCAGUGAAGAAGGCCGGCCGCGUUUGUGGGUGGGUUGACGGUAGCUAGAUAAGAAGCGCCGGCUAACUACGUG
rnacentral:rRNA from 1 species